rnacentral:rRNA from 1 species
UACGUUGGGGGCGAGCGUUGUCCGGAUUUAUUGGGCGUAAAGAGCUCGUAGGCGGUCUGUCGCGUCGGAUGUGAAAACCCAGGGCUCAACUCUGGGCCUGCAUUCGAUACGGGCAGACUAGAGUACGGCAGGGGAGACUGGAAUUCCUGGUGUAGCGGUGAAAUGCGCAGAUAUCAGGAGGAACACCGGUGGCGAAGGCGGGUCUCUGGGCCGAAACUGACGCUGAGGAGCGAAAGCGUGGGGAGCAAACAGG